AGAGGCUUAAGUUAAUGCGAGACUAAAAGCCUUCAAAGCUUUAAGCGGGGGUUAAAUCCCCUCAGCCUCUG
rnacentral:tRNA from 1 species